UACAGAGGAGCCAAGCGUUGUCCGGAUUGACUGGGCGUAAAGCGCACGCAGGCGGAUGCGCGCGUGGGGUGUGAAAUCUGGCCGCUUAACGGCCAGGCGCCAUCCCAUACGGCGCGUCUGGAGUGAUGCAGAGGUCGAUGGAAUUGCCAGUGUAGUGGUGAAAUGCGUAGAGAUCGGCAGGAACACCCAGGGGGAAACCAGUCGACUGGGCAUCUACUGACGCUGAGGUGCGAGAGCGUGGGGAGCGAACCGG
rnacentral:rRNA from 1 species